GACCUGCGCGGAAAGUUCAUUCUGAGUGCGUCCUGGCGAGUCUCAGCCCCCAAGCGGGUGGAACGCACCAAGGGUCUCAUCCGCGAGGAAGGGCUUUAACGCUCAGGGUCAGGAACCUCUGAGAGCUCUUGGGGACUUGCGCGCCCUUGGAUGCUCUUGCGUUCAACAGGGCUAGGAGACUACCGGCUGGGGCGAGGAAUGCAGGCGCCUAGAGCCUUGGAGCUCCUGAAACGUUCCUGCCGCCUCCGGAAAGCAAGGGCAGUUUACCGAAGUGACUGAGGCCAAGUAUUUGCAGCACGGGCAGGGACCAGUAACUGAUUUUCAGGCCUUUUGAGAGGAAGAGGAAGAGAGAGGAAGAGAAGGAUUUCUAAUAGUAGAUAUUCACUCUCAUGGACUCUUUAGGAAACAGCAACAAAGACAAGAUUAAGAACACCAAAUUGUGUGACUAUCCACACAAAAAAGCAUCUUCAUAAGAACCAAAAAUCAGCUCCAGACAGCUCAGCACAGAGUGAGAGACUCUAUUCAUCUGGGAGGAAGUAAGGAUUAAAAACAA
rnacentral:lncRNA from 1 species